rnacentral:rRNA from 1 species
UACAGGGGGGGCAAGCGUUGUUCGGAAUUACUGGGCGUAAAGGGUCUGUAGGUGGCCAACUAAGUCAGACGUGAAAUCCCUCAGCUUAACUGGGGAACUGCGUCUGAUACUGGAUGGCUCGAGUGUGGGAGAGGAAUGCGGAAUUCCAGGUGUAGCGGUGAAAUGCGUAGAUAUCGGGAGGAACACCAGUGGCGAAGGCGACUACCUGGCCUGUUCUUGACGCUGAGGCGCGAAAGCUAGGGGAGCAAACGGG